AGUGGCGGACGGGUGAGUAACGCGUGAACAAUCUGCCUAUCAGAGGGGGACAACACUUAGAAAUGGGUGCUAAUACCGCAUGAGACCACAGUGCCGCAUGGCACAGGGGUAAAAGAUUUAUCGCUGAUAGAUGAGUUCGCGUAUCAUUAGCUAGUUGGCGGGGUAACGGCCCACCAAGGCUACGAUGAUUAGCCGGCCUGAGAGGGUGAACGGCCACACUGGAACUGAGACACGGUCCAGACUCCUACGGGAGGCAGCAGUGGGGAAUAUUGGGCAAUGGGCGCAAGCCUGACCCAGCAACGCCGCGUGAGGGAAGAAGGUUUUCGGAUUGUAAACCUCUGUCCUUGGGGACGAAAAAAAUGACGGUACCCAAGGAGGAAGCUCCGGCUAACUACGUGCCAGCAGCCGCGGUAAUACGUAGGGAGCAAGCGUUGUCCGGAAUUACUGGGCGUAAAGGGUGCGUAGGCGG
rnacentral:rRNA from 1 species